UAAUCAUAAUAAUUUUUUAAUUGAUGACAAAAUAGAUAUUUUAUAGUUUGUGAGAGGGGGCAAAAUGAUCAAUCUUGGGAAUGGGGGAUUGAUUCCCACCACCUUCCUUAGGAAUCAAUCUUCCAUUCCUCAUUCCUAAUUUGGGUGGUCCCCAUAGUUCUUAUUCGGAUCCCAGCCUCUAUUUUGUGAAGUAAACAUCAUUAAUGAUUUCGAUUUCGGAUUCCGAUUCUCCAAUCCAAGAAGUAAAGGCACCAUUAUUGUUAAUUGGUUCAAACACACAAAGAGAAUGUACCAUGUAGCUAGGCGUCAAGGUUGUGUGGCACAAGGUUGUGUGGCACAAGUAGGGAUGGCAAUUCAACCCGCACCCGGCCCGGACCCGGAUGAAACCCGGAUUUUCCAGUCCGGGUUUAACCCGUACCGGAUUAAAUAAAAUCCGGAUCCGGAUGUCAUUUUAAAAACCCGCAUGUACCCGGGUCCGGUUCCGGGUUUAAGUAAACCCGUACAUCCGGAACCCGGACCCGGAUAUAUAUUAAUUUUAAAAAAUUAUUUUUAAUAUAAAUAGAAAGCAAAAAAAACCCAAAUGGUGCCCUAGAAGCUCAUUACACUUUCCCAGCCGCACAAACAUUUCCUCUCUUAUUCCCUCUUCAGCUCAUCUUCAUCUUCAUCAAAUCAUCGUCGCAUCACUUGCCCAUCUUCGCGGCUGUUCAACUUCAACAUCAUCAUCAUCAUCAUCAUCAGCCGUCGUUUCCUUUCUUUUUCUGCGGCGACCGGUAACUAGCUGUGAUACGGGUUGAACGCCGCCUUUGCCAAUCGCAACCGCGGCUGUGUUCAUCAUCAUCAACCGCCGUCACUUUCAAGAACGAUACUCGAAAAUAUUUUGAUGGGAAUCUUGUUUUUGGUCAUUUUAGUAACAGUGUGUGCAAGUGCGAGUGAGAGAGAGAGAGAACGUGGCUUACUCGAUGCCACUUAUCAUGCUUUCAUCUUUUUUCAUCCAGUGCGGGGUCUGUCUUUGUUGGCUUUUUGGAAAACUUGUUGCUUUUAAUGGUGUAUUACUUCUUUUGAAUAUCCAAUCAAUGUAAACUUAUUUACAUUACCCCUCCAGUUUUCCCAUCACCAUUAAAAGUGCUUUGGUUGCUCCUUGACUGUGCUUUGGUUGCUCCUUGACUCCUGACUUCCUGCUCGCAACAAAAGCUAGUUCUUUAGCUCUCUUUACUAAUUGAACGAGUCACCACAUUGGGUUGCUGAUUCUGGGCAGCCAAACAAAAUUGUUGUUUUUGUUAAUUAGUUUCCAGAUGAAAUAAUUUUUCUUUGAUUUGCUGAAAUCCUGGAUAUGUAUUUCUAUUUGAUUUUUUUAGUCGAAUUUAGUUUUUUUUUUUAAAUUGGAUUCAUCAAUCCGGGUUGGAAACCCGCAGUCCGGAAACCCGGAUUUUUCCGGGUUGAACCCGUACCGGACCCGGAGUGGAAAAAUGCGGGUUUAUUUCCGGGUCCGGUACAGAAAAUAUUCGUCCGGGUCCGGAUCCAGAAUGACUAAACCCGGACCCGGACCCGGAUUUUGCCAUCCCUAGGCACAAGUAACCUUUUUCUUUUCUUUUUAUUUUUUUUUGUUUUCCUUAACGGAUCAGAAGAAAUCGGUGCCUUUGAGAUACUACAAUGUAAAUAAGUACUUGUGGUUCAUUAAAUCUGUAACACUCGGUACCCUAAGGUUUCUUUUGAAAAAGGGCUUUUCUCACUGAUCACCAAUAUCCAAGUAAGUUUGUUUCAUUUCAGAAGGUGCAAAGUUUCAAACUUUUUGUAUUGGGAUGUAACAAACUUUGGCCUUAUAUGCCUGCUGUGACGUUAGACUGUUCAUUUUGAUUGUUUCAUACCUUUCACUUGCGCGCACUGUAGCACUGUAUUAUUCAUCAUUUUAGCUGUUUAAAUGAAAUUUUAUUUUUGUCAAAAAUAAAAUGACACCAUAAAAAUUUAGAAAAAUAAUCAUGUAGAUCCCAAAUUUUUAAUAAAGAAUACCAAUAUUCCCCUUGACUACAAUACCCUUAGUAGGUG
rnacentral:lncRNA from 1 species